AUUGAACGCUGGCGGCAGGCCUAACACAUGCAAGUCGAACGAGUGGCGGACGGGUGAGUAAUGUCUGGGAAACUGCCCGAUGGAGGGGGAUAACUACUGGAAACGGUAGCUAAUACCGCAUACCAUCGGAUGUGCCCAGAUGGGAUGAGCUAGUGGGGGGGGUAAUGGCUCACCUAGGCGACGAUCCCUAGCUGGUCUGAGAGGAUGACCGGCGACACUGGAACUGAGACACGGUCCAGACGCCUACGGGAGGCAGCAGGGGGGAAUAUUGCAAAAUGGGCGCAAGCCUGAUGGAGCAAUGCCGCGUGUAGGAAGAAGGCCUUCGGGUUGUAAAGUACUGUCAGCGGGGAGGCGUUACCCGCAGAAGAAGCACCGGCUAACUCCGUGCCAGCAGCCGCGGUAAUAC
rnacentral:rRNA from 1 species